rnacentral:ncRNA from 1 species
GGGGACCUUCGGGGCCCUAAAAGACCGAGCAAAACAAAGCUCGAAACAUACUGGUCGGGGCAACCCGAUCUUGCUUAACGGAAGACAGAAA